GGAGAGGUGGCCGAGCGGUCGAAGGCAGCGGUCUUGAAAACCGCCAGGCGCGCAAGCGCCUCGAGGGUUCGAAUCCCUCCCUCUCCGCCA
rnacentral:tRNA from 1 species